rnacentral:rRNA from 1 species
GACGAACGCUGGCGGCGUGCUUAACACAUGCAAGUCGAGCGGGAUCCAACCGGUGGCAACACCGGGGAAGAUCUAGCGGCGAACGGGUGAGUAACACGUGAGCAACCUGCCCCGAAGACUGGGAUAACACCGGGAAACCGGUGCUAAUACCGGAUGUCGUCAUUAGGCCGCAUGACCUGAUGAUGAAAGGAUUCAUCGCUUCGGGAGGGGCUCGCGGGCUAUCAGCUUGNGGUGGGGUAACGGCCUACCAAGGCGACGACGGCUAGCUGGUCUGAGAGGACGACCAGCCACACUGGGACUGAGACACGGCCCAGACUCCUACGGGAGGCAGCAG